rnacentral:rRNA from 1 species
AUUGAACGCUGGCGGCAUGCUUUACACAUGCAAGUCGAACGGGCUGGGGGCAACUCCAGUCAGUGGCGAACGGGUGAGUAAUACAUCGGAACGUACCUCGUAGGGGGGGAUAACGCGGCGAAAGCCGUGCUAAUACCGCAUAUGCUCUACGGAGGAAAGCAGGGGACCGUAACAGGCCUUGUGCUAUGGGAGCGGCCGAUGUCCGAUUAGCUAGUUGGUGAGGUAAUGGCUCACCAAGGCGACGAUCGGUAGCUGGUCUGAGAGGAUGAUCAGCCACACUGGGACUGAGACACGGCCCAGACUCC